AUUGAACGCUGGCGGCAGGCCUAACACAUGCAAGUCGAGCGGGGGAAGGUAGCUUGCUACCGGACCUAGCGGCGGACGGGUGAGUAAUGCUUAGGAAUCUGCCUAUUAGUGGGGGACAACAUCUCGAAAGGGAUGCUAAUACCGCAUACGUCCUACGGGAGAAAGCAGGGGAUCUUCGGACCUUGCGCUAAUAGAUGAGCCUAAGUGGGAUUAGCUAGUUGGUGGGGUAAAGGCCUACCAAGGCAAGGAUCUGUAGCGGGUCUGAGAGGAUGAUCCGCAAGACUGGGACUGAGACACGGCCCAGACUCCUACGGGAGGCAGCAGUGGGGAAUAUUGGACAAUGGGGGGAACCCUGAUCCAGCCAUGCCGCGUGUGUGAAGAAGGCCUUAUGGUUGUAAAGCACUUUAAGCGAGGAGGAGGCUACUUUAGUUAAUACCUAGAGAUAGUGGACGUUACUCGCAGAAUAAGCACCGGCUAACUCUGUGCCAGCCGCCGCCGUAACAC
rnacentral:rRNA from 1 species